ACAUCGGUAGUUCAGUGGUAAAAUACUCGCCUGCCACGCGGGUUCGAUUCCCGGCCGAUGCA
rnacentral:tRNA from 1 species